rnacentral:rRNA from 1 species
GACCUGGCCGGGCGGUCCUCCUCACGGUGCGUACUGUCUGGCUGGGCCUUACCUCUUGGUGAGCCGGCAUGCCCUUUACUGGGUGUGUCGGGGAACCAGGACUUUUACUUUGAGCAAAUUAGAGUGUUCAAAGCAGGCAAUCGAGCCUUGAAUACUUCAGCAUGGGAUAAUGGAACAGGA